UACGUAGGUCCCGAGCGUUGUCCGGAUUUAUUGGGCGUAAAGCGAGCGCAGGUGGUUUAUUAAGUCUGGUGUAAAAGGCAGUGGCUCAACCAUUGUAUGCAUUGAAAACUGGUAGACUUGAGUGCAGGAGAGGAGAGUGGAAUUCCAUGUAUAGCGGUGAAAUGCGUAGAUAUAUGGAGGAACACCGGUGGCGAAAGCGGCUCUCUGGCCUGUAACUGACACUGAGGCUCGAAAGCGUGGGGAGCAAACAGG
rnacentral:rRNA from 1 species